UUCCGGUUGAUCCUGCCGAAGGCUACUGCUAUUGGAGUUCGAUUAAGCCAUGCGAGUCUAAGGGAUCUUCGGAUCCCUGGCGUAAUGCUCAGUAACACGUGGAUAAUCUACCCUCAGGUGGGGCAUAAACCCGGGAAACUGGGGCCAAUUCCCCAUAAAUACAGAUGGCUGGAAUGCUUCUGUAUUCAAAGCUCCGGCGCCUGAGGAUGAGUCUGCGGCCUAUCAGGUUGUAGUCAGGGUCAAGACCUGACUAGCCAGCGACGGGUAUGGGGUGUGAGAGCACUUGCCCAGAGAUGGUUUCUGAGACACGAAACCAGGCCCUACGGGGCGCAGCAGGCGCGAAAACUUCGCAAUGCGGGAAACCGUGACGAGGGAACUCCGAGUGUCUAUGCAUUGCAUAGACUGUUUUUUAGCCUAAAUAGCUAUUAGAGUAAGGGGUGGGCAAGACCGGUGCCAGCCGCCGCGGUAACACCGGCACCCCGAGUGGUAGCCACUAUUAUUGGGCCUAAAGCGUUCGUAGCCGGUUUGGUAAAUUCUUGGGUAAAUCGUACCGCUCAACGGUGCGGAUUCCGGGGACACUACCAGACUUGAGACCGGGGGAGAUCAGAGGUACUUGCGGGGGAGCGGUGAAAUGUUGUAAUCCCGCAGGGACCACCAGUGGCGAAGGCGUCUGAUCAGAACGGCUCUGACGGUGAGGAACGAAACCCUGGGGCGCAAACGGGAUUAGAUACCCCGGUAGUCCAGGGCGUAAACGCUGCUGACUUGG
rnacentral:rRNA from 1 species